rnacentral:tRNA from 3 species
CAAAUUAUAACUUUUAGUAAGUAUUAUUAUUUACAUUAAUAAUUUAAUUGUGCGAAUCAAUUUAAUUUGA